rnacentral:lncRNA from 10 species
AGAGAACCAAGCAGGGACAAGAACACUGUAGGAGAAUCUGGCCCCAUUUAAUCCGCAGUACCCUGCCAGAAAAAGAAGGAGAGGCUGAUCCCCAGUAAGAGGGAACAGAGUGGCACCCACAAAUACGGAAUGAAGACAUUUGGAGAAGAAGCGUUUACUGAAAGGAGAUUCCUGGGCUGGAGGAAAACCAUGAUCUACAGUUCAUGUUGACAGAUAUUGUAUUUUUGGUCCUAGAUCUGACUUUUGAAAUGACUUAUCACAAAUUCAAAUUUAGCAAUCAUGAGUGAAGUACCCACGAUGUGCUAAGCAUCUACCUCUGCAGAUAGAAGAACACUUACUGUUCCUGAGCAUGGGAGGGAAUAGAAGUUCCUGGGUCCUGGCCUCACCUCAUCAGACGAGGGAACUGAGCUGUCAAAACUAAGUGACUUGAUUGAGGCCAUGCAGCUGGCGAGGGGAGGACCAGGAUCUGAACCCAACUGGGUCUCCCAAGCCUGGGCCACUGAACCAUUUCACCUCUUGGAAAAACUUAAUGGUCAGAGUGGCCCACCCAGUCCAUGGACAGCAUGGAGGAUAAACUGCUUCCCUAGAAAUCCUCUCCAGCAUUCUUGCCACCACGACUUUGGGACACAUUGACCAUGAGGAGGAGCUGGUCAAUGAUGGACAGGAGUCCAGAUUAGCAGAGAUGUGGUAAUAAGGACACCGAUGCCUAAAUACUUGAAAUAUCCAAUAGGAAGCAUUCCACCUUUGUGCAAAUGCGAACCACAUCUCACCAAGUUCAGGCCAAGGCUGCCACCGGUGACGUUUUGGAAAAGAAAAAAAAAAGCGGGGGGAGAGGAGAGAAACAGAGAAGCAAGGAAUGCAGAAGAGAGCAGAGGCCACAAAAACAGCAGCAACGUGUCCUGUGUAUUCUGUUUCCUUGUAAAACUAUGAAGCAUGUUAAGGAGAUACUUCAUUUUUUGAGGAUUCAUACUCUUGUUUAUAUUAUAAUAAAAACAACCCAUGUUCUUUCUAAAAAUUUAGGCAAUGCCUUCGUGCACAUAAAAGUAAAACAAAAUCACCUGUAAUCCUACCACACGCAGAUCAGCACUUGCUAAUCUUUUCACAGGGAUCCUAAGAAUAUCCUAUUCUCUAUAGAAUAUAGUUGAUUUAUGUUACCUAAUAACUAACUGUUAACCAUUUUAAAAUUCUUCAGUUUUACAUUAUGCUAGAAAAAAGGAGCCGUCACUCUACGUGACAUUUCUGUAUAUUGGUUUAUUCAUUCAAUAAACAUUUUUUAAGUACCUACUAU